GUGGGGAAUCUUCCGCAAUGGACGAAAGUCUGACGGAGCAACGCCGCGUGAGUGAAGAAGGUUUUCGGAUCGUAAAGCUCUUUCGUUAGGGACGAACGUGCUCUUUGUGAAUAAUGAGGAGUAAUGACGGUACCUAAAUAAGAAGCCACGGCUAACUACGUGCCAGCAGCCGCGGUAAUACGUAGGUGGCAAGCGUUGUCCGGAAUUAUUGGGCGUAAAGCGCGCGCAGGCGGGAUAUCAAGUCUGUCUUAAAAGUGCGAGGCUCAACCUCGUGAGGAGACAGAAACUGGUAUUCUUGAGUGUCGGAGAGGAAAGUGGAAUUCCAAGUGUAGCGGUGAAAUGCGUAGAGAUUUGGAAGAACACCAGUGGCGAAGGCGACUUUCUGGACGAUGUCUGACGCUGAGGCGCGAAAGCUAGGGGAGCGAACGGGAUUAGAUACCCCUGUAGUCC
rnacentral:rRNA from 1 species